GGAAGCCGGUGAGAAUCCGGCACGGUCGCGCCACUGUGAACGGCCAGCCAGCCCGCUGGUAGCCGUGAGUCAGAC
rnacentral:ncRNA from 2 species